rnacentral:rRNA from 1 species
GGCGCACGGGUGAGUAACGCGUAUCCAACCUUCCCAUUACUGUGGGAUAACCUGCCGAAAGGCAGACUAAUACCGCAUAGUCUUCGAUGACGGCAUCAGAUUUGAAGUAAAGAUUUAUCGGUAAUGGAUGGGGAUGCGUCUGAUUAGCUUGUUGGCGGGGUAACGGCCCACCAAGGCGACGAUCAGUAGGGGUUCUGAGAGGAAGGUCCCCCACAUUGGAACUGAGACACGGUCCAAACUCCUACGGGAGGCAGCAGCU